AUUUAUUUAAUAUAAAAAGUAUAUUAAGCUUCCAACUUAAAUGUUUCUUCCUAUGGAAAAUAAAUA
rnacentral:tRNA from 1 species